rnacentral:lncRNA from 1 species
CUUCCGGGAGGGCGGCUCGCGGGCACCAUGACUCCUGUGAGGAUGCAGCACUCCCUGGCAGGUCAGACCUAUGCCGUGCCCCUCAUCCAGCCAGACCUGCGGUGAGAGGAGGCCGUCCAGCAGAUGGCAGAUGCCCUGCAGUACCUGCAGAAGGUCUCUGGAGACAUCUUCAGCAGGUGUUCUCCAGUGCCAAGUACCCUGCUCCAGAGCGCCUGCAGGAAUAUGGCUCCAUCUUCACGGGCGCCCAGGACCCUGGCCUGCAGAGACGCCCCCGCCACAGGAUCCAGAGCAAGCACCGCCCCCUGGACGAGCGGGCCCUGCAGGAGAAGCUGAAGGACUUUCCUGUGUGCGUGAGCACCAAGCCGGAGCCCGAGGACGAUGCAGAAGAGGGACUUGGGGGUCUUCCCAGCAACAUCAGCUCUGUCAGCUCCUUGCUGCUCUUCAACACCACCUAGAACCUGUACAAGAAGUAUGUCUUCCUGGACCCCCUGGCUGGUGCUGUAACAAAGACCCAUGUGAUGCUGGGGGCAGAGACAGAGGAGAAGCUGUUUGAUGCCCCCUUGUCCAUCAGCAAGAGAGAGCAGCUGG